GGCGGGGCUCGGCUCGGGCUCCGCGGGCGGGCGGGCGGACAUGGCGGCCAACAUGUACCGGGUCGGAGAUUAUGUCUACUUUGAGAAUUCCUCCAGCAACCCGUACCUAAUCAGGAGGAUAGAAGAACUCAACAAGGUGUCCAGGACAUCAGAAGCAUUAUGGCUUGUUUGCAGUAGAUGAACUUUCACAAUGAAGGCACACGAAAACGGUCAUAAACUACACGAACCAUAGAUUUCUAACGACGCUCUGGUUUUCUCCAAAUCACUUUAAGGGUUGUGUGGCUUAUGAGAAUUCAUAGUGUUAAAAUGUUUGGCGCAAGACAGCUGCUGAUACCUUUCCCCCAAAAUACCAUCCUGGAGACUGAGUCCCCUGGAGACUGAGUUCUGAGUCUCAGGAAGCCAGAUCUGGCCAAAGGCAUUUCUAGUUUACCAGCCUUGAGAUCUUGGUUUGCUCUGGGAUUACCAUAGGGGCCCUGCAUUUUGAAAACUUCUUUAGUAUUUGAGACCACCACCAAAUGAAGACACUGGGCUGGAAGUGUCCCUCUUUGACCUCCAAGUGUCACUCUUGCUGCUCUCCACCUCACUCAUUUGUCUCCAAGCACAAGUAGACAGGCGCUGUUUCUCAAAUGUACCUACCAAAGGAUCGAUUAAUUGUUACCAACCGUACCCCUGUACUGUGCUCUUUUUUAAAUUUUUUUUGGAUGUCUUAGUCACCUUCAAAUAUACUUAAUUGUUGUGUUUAUUUUCAUUGCCUGUUUUCCCAAAUAGAAUGUAAGCUGUCUGUGUGUAAUGAUCU